rnacentral:lncRNA from 10 species
UUGAAUACCAGCUUCCUGAAAAUAUCACCAAAACGAUCUGGUCCUCAGACAAAGCAGAGUCUAUUGCUCACUGCAGUAACAGAGAGCUCCGUCUUCAGAGUCUUGGUAACAUUUCGCUGAGAGGACAACCCAAUCACACUGUUUAGGAGAUUUUGGAUUCUGACUAAGGUGCCUGGAGCAAAAAUGUGUCCAGAAUUGGUGGGUUGUUGGUCUCGCUGACCUCAAGAACGGAGCCGUGGACCCUCGCGUUGGCUGGGAAAUGAAAUUCAGUGAAUCAGAG